CAGAUCUGCCACAAAUACAGAAAAUUCACUGUUCACACGGACAGAGUCUCCUCUGUAUUUGCACAGCGUCGCACAAGUACAACAAGUAAACCGGAUACAACCACAACUAAAUGAAUAUAGAGAUAACUAUACCUUCAUACAUUCACCAUUCACAUCACACAUUUACAUUCAAUGUCUAACAUAAAUCCAUAGAAAACCUUUUGAAAACUGUUCCCUACACGAAAAUUUUUAUCUUUUAAAAAUGCUACCAUGAGGGGUAGAAAACCUUUUGUUUACGAAAACCAUGAAUCCUUUUUAUUACUUUACAAAGCCAAACCUAAAUAUAAUAAUUAACUGAAAUACCAAAAACUGAACCAUGAUAUGUCUAAGUUAUAGCAACAGAAAUAAAGAGGAUGACGACUAAACCGAACAAACCGGGUCGGAAGCUCUAACGACCGCUACGAACGUGUCUCACAUCUCGUCUCACCCUCACCGCCCGCAAUACCUGAAAAUAGUUGGGGAGAUGAGAACAUAUAAACAUGUCUCCCCUCCCAGUGGGUACCGCAAGCCGAAGAAGGCGAGGAGUACUCACCGGAUCAGAAAGAGAUAAAUAACAUGGGUAAGUGAAAUACAGUAGCAACGAUAAUAAACGAAUGAGAUAUAUAUAUGAAAGAACAACUACCGCUACUGUAAUGAAGAAUUGAAAGCAUACAUGGAUAUCAAAACUAUAGUAGCAAGACAACUGUAAAGAAGACUAUAAGUAUACAUGCAACAACCGCUACUAUAGCUAUAUGCGUCAACCGGACGAUAAGUCCAAAUAUACCCAAUCUGAAAACUUGGCCCUGUUUGUCCGCACGGCAGACCACAAGCCUAUGCCACUGCCACUCUACCUGUGUAUAACCCAAGGUAGCCUAUGGGCUCACAGGCUGCAUAUAACCCAAGGUAGCCUAUGGGCUCACAGGUUGGCACACCCAACCACUUUUUCGAAAAAGAACACCCUCUUGCGGUGGAUCAGACCGCUGGUGUUCGUAAAAUGCGUACGAGUCUCGGGCGAUCAAUGCUGAUAUGCUCAAAAACCAACCGUCGGCAACAAGCCGACAAUCACUGCCCCUCGGGGCAAACCGACCAAUAGGUCAUCAAACUAUAAGGAAGCAUUAGAACCGACCACUCAGGUGAACUAGGAUGGAACAACUCAACAUCCUCUCAAAUGUAUGCAAGUACUGCUCAAUGUCAACUAAUUGUAUACUCAAGAACCGACCAAUAGGUCACACGAAUGUCACAUCAUGUAUCACAGAAAUCCAGAACUAUCGUCAGCCACUAGCCGACAAUCCAACCCCUCAGGGUACACCGACCUCAACGGUCAUCGAGCGACAGAAGUCAAGGAACCGACUGAAUAGGUCACAGAUACGAGAUACAAGAACUGACCAACCAGGUCACUGCUACGAAGUACGAGAACCUACCAACCAAGUCACUGAUACGAAGUGCGAGAACUGACCAACGAGGUCACUGCUACGAAGUACGAGAACCGACCAACCAGGUCACUGAUGCGAAGUGUGAGAACCGAUCAACCAGGUCACUGCUAUGACGUACGAGUAACCUACUCUACUCCUACACAUGGUGACUGAGUAUGGAAAGUUCUGAGUAGCGUAUCACCAGGUCACUGAUAUGGAGUGCUAGAACCGCUCAACCAGGUCACUGAUAUCAUAUAUAUGUAUACUACUGCCUACUCCUACACAUGGUAGUAAGGGUAUGGAACCAUCUCCGAGCGUGCACCACUGUACCGACUUCGGAUCGAAGUACCCACCUGUACAACUGUCGCGCCUGUCUUCUGACUACAAAAGAAUGUCAACCAGACCUACAGAGGGUCCACUGGGUUAAUAUCUAACCCACAACUAAGCAUGACCUCACAAUUAAACCCACAGAGAUCGGUUUCCCAAAGCCGACUAUCGUAAUUCGCCGGAAGUCCCGAAACCGCACCGAGACUCCGUCGGGACCCACGAACUGUCCCGGAAUGCACCGACUCGCACUACGAGUCACCCGCUACCACAAAACACAUCAAAUAGGAUGUCUUGGCAGCAAACACAAGAAUACACAACCAAACAACUAUCGUCGAAUAAUCGUUCGGAUCUGGAUUCCCGGAAGUGUCAAUUUCGACAUCGGAACCCACUGUCGCUCACCCGUCUUUUUCGAACCCCUGAAACGACCUGGGUGACCAGCCAACCAGGCUCAGCGACUACACAAUAGUUCAUGAAGCACCAUCGGAAUAAUUCCGAACCGAAGCCGCGUUCCGUCGGCGGAUUUCGCCGAGAAACGCUUCGAAAAUCAAUAUUUGAUUUCUGUAAGGGCCGGAGCCUUGGAAAAUCAGUCCAGAGGUUACCCUCAGCCUACAAUUGCUGCCAACAGCAGCCUCGAAGAACAAAAUUGCAUAAAAGCCCUCCCGAAUACCCGAAAUCACAUCAUUUUAUGUGAUUUCGGCGCUUUUAUGGUCCGUCUACACAGACCAGAAGUUAAUCAGCCAAACCAAGACACCCGCUGAUAGAUCUCAGCAUGUCAGAGACCGUGCUCACCUUUCGGAGCACUACCGGCCACUGUGGCACGCGUACGAGCGAUGCGAAAGUCUACGAAAUAGCACACACAGAGCUUAAAUCGUAGUUAACUCGCUAACCAGGGCAUUUAUAACCCUAAUAGAGAUGAGCACAGUGUUCAGCACGAAUCCAUGAUCAUCGUGCUCACCUCCAUGGGUGUCGGGGUGUCUUCGGAUCGCCGGAACAGUGAAUGGAAACUCAAACUAUAAUGCUGGAACAUAAAAACAGCAUACCGGAGCUGGGGAGAGUUAGGGUUGGCCGUCGGCGGCCGGACGGCAAACGCUCCGGCCGGGGAUGGGAGCUGCCGAUCCGUAGGGUCCGGGGAAGGUGCUGGCUGGCGGCGGACAGCAACCGGUGGUGCGACGGAGGAGAUCAACUCCUCAAAAGUGUCCUCGAGUUCAAGGGCGCCGGCGGCAAGGCGGCGGCUAUAAGAGCCCGGGACUGCGACGAUCCGUCGCCGAAGGUUGAGGAGGAGGUGGCGCGCACGGCGCAUGGCGGCGGGGGCGCACGGUGGCGGAGUUGGCUUCGCUUUGGCCCGCACCAGAUCUGGGCGGCCGCAGGAUGGAAGAGCGGCAACCGGCGGUGCGCGGGGACGGCGGGGAAGCGCGCCAAAGGUCGCCGAAGGUCGCCGGAAGGCGGCGCGGCCAAUGGGGAGCGGUGGCCGCACGCAAAACCCAAGCUCGAGCCUGCUCGGUCUGGGCUCACCCGAGCUGGCCACAGCUCGCUCAGCAGGCUCCGGCCGCGCGUGCUGACAGCGGAAACGUCCGGCGACGGUGUCGGACGUUGGUCUCGGCCAGAGGAUGAUGGCGCUCAGACUUAGAUGACUCUUUACGACCCCCAACCAUAACGUGGUGGAGUGGUUGGCCGAGAGGGAGGGAAAGGGUGGUGCGGAAGGGUUUUCCGGUGGCCGGAGAAACUCGCCGGCGGUCAGGGCGCGCGUACGGCAGGGUAGGGAUGAAGCUAACAACGGCUAGGGUUAGCUGGUAGCUGGGCGGACUCGGGUUAGGGUUUCCUUUGUGAAACCCGAGCUAACCUAUAUAUAUAUAGGUGAAAAUUGCUGAAAAGUCCUCCGUAGCCUACUAAUCUCAACUAGGUUCCCUGCCAGUAGGUGAACAUUGCGCACAAGCCCCUCGACGUUCGAACUCAUGCAAAACGGCACAUGAAAUAUCAGGUCUAUUCGCGAUUUAUCCGUUUUGCCAAUUUGACCCCUCAGCGGACUUUUCGUGAUUCCCGAAGAUCCGUCCGUCGGAUUUCCGAACGGAUUGUGCUAGCGCGUUCAGCAUGGCUGGGGCAUCAAAUCUUGUAUUUCGUUUCGUCCGAUUUGGUCUUUGAUUUGCGACAAAACCAACCCUCUUUGCUUCCACCACAUAACCACCUAUAUUAAUAUAUGUGAAAUCAAUCAAACCCCUUUCUCCCGACAACCGAGCAUCAGAACCCAAUUCCGUCAGUGCUAUUGGGUUCAGAAUAGUCGAGCCAUUCGAAACGAGCUAUUGGAGUCCUAUGUUCGGAGUCCAAUACGCACCAGAACCCUUCUCUACUCACUAGCUCAUCCGAAAAGCCGGAGUUACUAUUCACUUUAAGUCAUCGGUCCUGGUCGCGUAACUUCUCCAUUCUAGCUUGUUUUCUCCCGAAAAUUGACGAGUGCUUAUGUAAUAAAUUAUACACAAACACAUCGUCAACAGAGAGUUCAGCUACACUAUCAAAAUCUCAAUCCUUAUAUUAUCCCUCCCUUAAAAGAAGUUUCGUCCCCGAAACUUGACCACGUACCCACCGUAAAUGAAUUCAGACAUUACUCUGCCACUGCGGUAUCACCUUGAGUACUGGUCAGUUACAAUAUGGUUGAAUCUGGACGGAUCAACCUCUCAAAGGUGGGGAGAAAAGUACUGCGGUUCCACUCGGAUUAAACGAUGGAAAACGUACCAACCCAAAAUCUACGGACCAAAACUCAUCGGGAUCAACACCAUCCCAUAACCUGCGGACAAAGACAGUCCUGUGACAAGGAUUAUCAGAUCCCAAAUUGCAAACUCUGAGAUAAAAAUUCUCCACUCAGAAACUCUAGAUACACUCUACCUUGAUCCGCAUACUAGUAACCGACUCGACUACGUCGAAGGUUCACAUAGAAGAGAUACGAGUCAACACCACAAGUCUGGAGUGUAUUUUCAUACGCCGAAAAGACAUACUCUGACUAACCAACAACGUCAACCUGCUCACCACGAGCGAAUAGGAAACGUUGUUCCGACAACCGAGACAAUAACACUCACUAUGGAGACCACAGUCUCCCACCAGAUAACCACACAAACCGCCAAAACCUCCAUCAAUGGAAAGUCACCUGCGGUAUUCUACAGUCCUAGGUCGAAGACUUCACUUUCCACUAGACCAAAAGGUCCAAGGCUGACAAUAUCAAUUGAGCUGGACAAUUUGUUCGCUCAAUAUUUCAAUCCAACCAACAUACGUCUGAUGCAAGUCCAUUAGUUGGUGCACAGGGUCGCCAAUCGCAAUAUGCGAUACUAACCAUCGGUGAUGCCCAACACCUAUCUCUACGAGAUCCUGCCGCUGCCGUCCUACAAAGGACCCUAGCGAUCGAUGUUCCUAGCAACACCCAAAUACCUGUCUCAUUGAGACCCAAGCGCACCUGUCCCCAAAUAACCAGACAAGCAUACCACUCUAAGGUUUGCACGAUAAGCUAAGUCGCAAACCUUACAUGCUAUCUCAGAUUGUGACAAUCAAAGCCAGCAACCAGGCUCAAGUCACUCAACCACUAAUUUCGCAUCUUCCGGCAAACAGACCGAGACUACUAACCAAACAAAUUUUUUAGCUAUGGAAGGCACAACAAUAAAACGAACGAUCACCUAGACUCGAACCAGGGUCAAAACCAUCAGCAGUGACGAUAAAUCAACUGCACAAAACCUGCCAGGGAAUAACCCAAGGCUCGCUACAUGGUUAGAAAAGACCGACACUCUAGCUUUCCCACGAGACAAUCUAGAGAAAGAUACCGACCCAAUCCAUGAGUCCCAACAGGAAAAAGGUAUUUCGUCCCAACUUUCGACAGUACAUUGUCUGCAGCCAAUGUACUUAUCAAAAGAGAAGCGAAAUAUCCGUAGAUCCACUACCAACAACAAGGUAGAAGCGUGACACGUCGAAAUAUCAAACCACCUGAUAUUUCCUUACUGAACCAAAGCUCACAACUAGCACCGUCGAAACGUCGACUUUGUAAGUCGACAUUCGAAAACAGAUCGACCAUGAACCGACUUACUUGGAGUCUUAUAACUUUCAACAUCCGAAAGCUGCUAGCGACAUUAAGCUGCGAACCGUACCAACUGAGGCUUUAGGAAACGGUUUCUCUAACCGAUUUCCGCGCAACAACCGAGCUAUAAUCAAAGCUCCGAGAAUUCCGACAAUAACCUGGAGUCUCUCUAGUCGAAACGAACUUUACCACAAACCACGGACUAAACCACAUCACACCAAUUUAGGUGUUGGAAUAACCGCAUACGAUGUAUGCAUCACUAGACACCCGAUACCAACACUAUGUUCGUCCGAUUCUGGUACACGUCAAUUUGACGAAAAAACUAGAUAAAGGUCAAAAUACCCAAACCGCUGAUUCCAAUCAGCAAUCAAGGAGGAGAGGUAGGCAUCACAACCUUACCCAAAGAUCUGCGAAAGCAACACUAACAAUGCAGUCGCCUAAACGACCGCUAUCCAAACCCUAUGCUACACCCUAGUAGCCCCACUGAAAUCGCGACCGUAACUAGUCUAAGUACCGUCUCUGUAGAGACACUCGCAGUAGCUCUCGUGUCCUCAGUAGGAAGAGUGGCCCGGGCAUCGGCAGUUAAGAUACUCACCUAAGCCGAAGAUUACCUGGCCCUUAAAGGCCCCACCUGACAAGAGUGGAAACACCUAGGGAACGCCGCCCCGGAACUCAAUGUCCAAAAAAAACACCGCCACUACUCCUGACUGAGACACCAGCUUGUGCGAAAAUCGUAGUACAUAAGAAAAUAUCAGUACAUUCAAGUUUACCAAUCUCGACAUGCACACCGGGACUCAAGCCCAAACCCCGCAAUCACGUGCCUAUACACCGUAGGUCUUCCUAUGGGUCAACCUAACCAAUGGUUUAGUUUCAUUUACUUUUCAAAACAACCUGUGAAUGGUGUUGUGGUUGUAACUUGUCUCUGAUACCACUUUAAUCUGUCACGCCCCGGGGUCCCUGUUAGAUUGAAAGUACAGCGGAAGUAACUAGAAUUUUUUUUUUGAAAACCUGACCCCAGGGUAUGCCAGAUCCGCCACAAAUACAGAAAAUUCACUGUUCACACGGACAGAGUCUCCUCUAUAUUUGCACGGCAUCGCACAAGUACAACAAGUAAACCGGAUAUAACCACAACUAAAUGAAUAUAGAGAUAACUAUACAUUCAUACAUUCACCAUUCACAUCACAAAUUUACAUUCAAUGUCUAACAUAAAUCCACAGAAAACCUUUUGAAAACUGUUCCGUAUACGAAAACUUUUAUCUUUUAAAAACGCUACAAC
rnacentral:lncRNA from 1 species